rnacentral:rRNA from 1 species
AACGAACGCUGGCGGCAUGCCUAACACAUGCAAGUCGAACGAGACCUUCGGGUCUAGUGGCGCACGGGUGCGUAACGCGUGGGAACCUGCCCUUAGGUUCGGAAUAACUCCCCGAAAGGGGUGCUAAUACCGGAUAAUGUCCUCGGACCAAAGAUUUAUCGCCUUUGGAUGGGCCCGCGUUGUAUUAGCUUGUUGGUAGGGUAAAAGCCUACCACGGCGACGAUCCAUAGCUGGUCUGAGAGGAUGAUCAGCCACACUGGGACUGAGACACGGCCCAGACUCCUACGGGAGGCAGGAGUGGGGAAUAUUGGAAAAUGGGCGAAAGCCUGAUCCAGCAAUGCCGCGUGAGUGAUGAAGGCCUUAGGGUUGUAAAGCUCUUUUACCCGGGAUGAUAAUGACAGUACCGGGAGAAUAAGCUCCGGCUAACUCCGUG